AGAAUUUCAUGGCGUUGUCAGUGCCAGAAGAAGAAGUUAAGUUUGCCAAUGCUAUAAUAGGUAGAGAUACCUCUCUCAUUCUUGAAGAAUAUAACAAACGACAGGGUGUUGAUUAUGAUUUAUGAAUAUGUAAAAAAUAUCACCUUGAGUGCAACAUAUGAAGACGACCCAGACGGCCAAUAUGUUGUUGGACAUAAUAUGAACUUUUUUUGGGCUCGAGAUCAGGUAGUCCAGAAGUAGUUGAUUGUUGUAAGCUGAUUUUCAACCUAUUUACGACGAAACCUUCAAGUUGGAUGAAGUUCUACAUUGUGAGCAUGUGGAGUGUCUACAAUGUGGUUUAUCAGUCUAUGGCCUAAGUGAACAACAAUCUCUGUGAUAUUUAGUGAAAUGAACGAACCCAUAAUCUAGUACUCCCGUUACCGGAGUUGUAUACACUAUUUAUUUGUCUGUUUGCCCUUAAGUUUUGUUGUUUAAAAUUUAAGUAUUGGGAUACCAUGCGAUGGAAGAGCAUUAUUUUUGUCAGCGUUUUCUCCCUUGCAUUUGUAACCCUAACCUUCUCUGAAUCUCUGAUGAGAGCUGGUCAUUAUGUUUAGUAAGCGGGAGGUCUUGAGUUCGACUCUCAACGAGAGCAAUAGCUCUGUUAUUACUGAUUAGGGGUAGGCCUUUUAUUUUUACAAUACCAGUGCUGAGAGCCUGAGACUGAGUUAGCUCUCUACUCUAGCCAAUGAGGUCCGUCUUUUUAGGCUCAGGUCAAUCUGUAUAGCUAUCGACCAGACUCAAUCUAAAGAACCAGCGAGUUCAACUUACGUGAUAAUCAACUGCAACAAAAGAA